rnacentral:rRNA from 1 species
CUACGGGUGGCACCAGUGGGGAAUAUUGGACAAUGGGGGAAACCUGAUCCAGCAAUGCCGCGUGUGUGAAGAAGGCCUGCGGGUUGUAAAGCACUUUCGGUUGGGAGGACUGCUUCUAGCACUAAUAUUGUUGGAAGUUGACGUUACCUUCAGAAGAAGCACCGGCUAACUCCGUGCCAGCAGCCGCGGUAAUACGGAGGGGUGCAAGCGUUAAUCGGAAUUACUGGGCGUAAAGCGCGCGUAGGCGGCUAGAUCAGUCGGGUGUGAAAGCCCCGGGCUUAACCUGGGAACUGCAUCCGAUACUGUCUAGCUUGAGUACAGGAGAGGAGAGUGGAAUUCCACAUGUAGCGGUGAAAUGCGUAGAUAUGUGGAGGAACACCAAUGGCGAAGGCAGCUCUCUGGCCUGAUACUGACGCUGAGGUGCGAAAGCGUGGGGAGCAAACAGGAUUAGAUACCCCCGUAGUC